GGGAAGUAGCCACAGGCGGCUGGAAACACCGGUAAACAUCACAUUUGACGCAUUAUUUAUCGCUCAUCUUGUUAUAAACGGAAACGUGUCGCGUUAGAUAGUCAAGCAGCAAGAGGAGACGUUACGUUGUAAACACAGAAGAUAAACAAGGCAGAGAUGAGGCUGUCCAGAGCUCAGUAUAAGGAGAUAGUGAGGUGCGCUGAACAGCUGAGACCCACCCGACAAUGUAUGAAGAUGCUCAAGGAGAGAUUUCCAAAUCACUCGCAGUCCACUCUUCUGAGCAUCUUCUCCCUGGAGUACCAG